UGGCCAUUGGGACCCAUUUCAUUGAUUUGCGGAAGAUCUCUAAUGAAGGAGACAAAGGCUUCCUGCCCACCUUUGGCCGUGCCUGGGUGAACAUGUACGGCUCCACUCGGAACUACACCCUGAUGGAUGAGCACCAGGAUCUGAAUGAGGGUCUGGGUGAAGGUGUCUCCUUCCGGGCCAGGCUUUUGAUGAGCCUUGCUGUGGAGAUCUUGGAUACCAGCAACCCAGAGAUCAACAGCUCCACUGAGGUGCAAGUUGAGCAGGCCCCAUCAGUUGCCGAUAACUGUACUGGGA